AGGACAAACGCUGGCGGCGUGCAUAACACAUGCAAGUCGAACGAGGGUAGCGAUACUCGAGUGGCGGACGGGUGAGGAACACGUGGAUGACCGACCUUUUACUGGGGAAUACCCGUGGGAAACCACGGCUAAAUACCGCAUACGUUCGAGAGAAGAAAGCCUUCGGGCGGUAAGAGACGGGUCUGCGGUCGAUUAGCUAGUUGGUGCGGUAAUGGCGUACCAAGGCGACGAUCGAUAGCUGGUCUGAGAGGAUGAUCAGCCACAUUGGGAUUGAGAACGGCCCAAAUCCCUACGGGGAGCAGCAGUGAGGAAUAUUCGGCAAUGGGCGCAAGCCUGACCGAGCGACGCCGCGUGGGGGAUGACGCAUUUCGGUGUGUAAACCCUUUCUGUGGGACGAGAAUGGACGGUACCACAGGAAUAAGUCUCGGCUAACUACGUGCCAGCAGCCGC
rnacentral:rRNA from 1 species